AGAUGAAAAAAUCCAACUUCGUUCGCACCCGCCUUUCAUUCUCGACCUCUUCGUGUCUUGUGUGUUUGCGGGUCUAGGUCCGCUGUGGGUCGAACUUGAGGCUUCGCUCUACAUCAUUACCGCAGUGUUCUUCGUGUUUCUCGGCGUGCCUCAUGAAUCCUUGUAAGGCAGCGAGUUUUACCGUCAAUCUCCUCCUUUUCUUUUCCACCAUUAAAACUCAAUCUUUCUCUCCUCCAUCGUGGCUUUCAAUAGCUGUUCUGCAGGAGAUAUUCUUGUCAUUUGUAACGCUGAACAGGGGAAAGAGUUGAAUGGGUUUCUGGCUGAAAAUUUGGAGGAAGUUGGAAACUCUGCUAGCUAGAAAUUAUGAAGGUCUCAUUUACAAGGAAGAUUAUGGCAAAAUUUCUGCAUAAAGCCUUGGUACUUUUGUUUUUAUGAAAUCAUGUUUACCAUUGAUCUUUGAUAUCAAAAUUAUAAAUAUGAUGAUUUUAGUUAUGUGAACAAGUGGUUUUGUGUCUCCACAGUUUAAGGGAUGUGGGUUAUCUCAUGUUUUGGGCUAGUCAUACCUAACUAUUCCAAGUGUUGCAUCAUCACUCCUCGUAUUUUAUGCAAGUCUUGCCAUCCAUUUCAAUCUUGUAC